GGUGUAGGGUAUUACCUAUAGGGUGUAGGGUAUUAGUAUUAGCUGUGGGGUGUAGGGUAUUAGUAUUAGCUAUAGGGUAUUAGUAUUAGCAUAAGGGUGUAGGGUAUUAGUAUUAGUAUUAGCUAUAGGGUGUAGAGAAUUAGAAUUAGCUAUAGAGUGCAGGGUAUUAUUAUUAGCUAUAGGGUAUUAGUAUUAGUACUAGCUAUAGGGUGUAGGGUAUACGUAUUACUAUUAGCUAUAGGGUAUACGUAUUAGUAUUAGCUAUAGGGUGUAGGGUAUUCGUGUUAGUAUUAGCUAUAUGGUGUAGGGUAUUAGUAUUAGCUAUAGGGUGUAGGUUAUUAGCUAUAGGGUGUAGGGUAUUAGUAUUAGCUAUAGGGUGUAGGAUAUUAGUGUUAGCUAUAGGGUGUAGGGUAUAAGUAUUAGUAUUAUCUAUAGGGUGUAGGGCAUUAGUAUUAGCUAUAGGGUGUAGAGUAUUAGUAUUAGCUAUAGGGUGUAGGGUAUUAGUAUUAGCUAUAGGAUGUAGGGUAUUAGUAUUAGCUAUAGGGUGUAGAGUAUUUGUAUUAGUAUUAGCUAUAGGGUGUAGGGUAUUAGUAUUAGUAUUAGCUGUUGGGUGUAGGGUAUUAGUAUAGUAUUGGCUAUAAGGUGGAUGGUAUUAGUAUUAGCUAUUGGGUGCAUGGUAUUAGUAUUAGAUAUAGGGUGUAUGGUAUUAGUAUUAGUAUUAGCUAUAUGGUAUUAGUAUUAGCUAUAGGGUGUAGGAUAUUAGUAUUAGUAUUAACUAUAGGGUGUACGGUAAUAGGUAUUAGCUACAGGGUGUAGGGUAUUAGUUUUAGUAUUUGCUAUAGUGUGUAGGGUAUUAUAUAUUAUAAUUAGCUAUAGGAUGUAGGGUAUUAGUAUUAGCUAUAGGAUGUAGGGUAUUAGUAUUAGCUAUAGGGUGUAGAGUAUUUGUAUUAGUAUUAGCUAUAGGGUGUAGGGUAUUAGUAUUAGUAUUAGCUGUUGGGUGUAGGGUAUUAGUAUAGUAUUGGCUAUAAGGUGUAUGGUAUUAGUAUUAGCUAUUGGGUGCAUGGUAUUAGUAUUAGAUAUAGGGUGUAUGGUAUUAGUAUUAGUAUUAGCUAUAUGGUAUUAGUAUUAGCAAUAGGGUGUAGGAUAUUAGUAUUAGUAUUAACUAUAGGGUGUACAGUAAUAGGUAUUAGCUACAGGGUGUAGGGUAUUAGUUUUAGUAUUUGCUAUAGUGUGUAGGGUAUUAUAUAUUAGAAUUAGCUAUAGGAUGUAGGGUAUUAGUGUUAGCUAUAGGGUGUAGGAUAUCAGUAUUAGUAUUAGCUAUAGGGUGUAGGGUAUUAGUAUUAGUAUUAGCUAUUGGGUGUAGGGUAUUAAUAUAGUAUUAGCUAUAAGGUGUAUGGUAUUAGUAUUAGCUAUAGGUGUAGGGUAUUAUUAUUAGUAUUAGCUAGG
ensembl:lncRNA